AUACGGAGGACGCGAGCGUUAUCCGGAUUCAUUGGGUUUAAAGGGUGCGCAGGCGGCCGUGCAAGUCAGCGGUGAAAGCCCGGGGCUCAACCCCGGAAGUGCCGUUGAUACUGCGUGGCUGGAAUGCGGUCGAGGCGGGCGGAACGUGGGGUGUAGCGGUGAAAUGCGUAGAUAUGCCACAGAACGCCGAUAGCGGAGGCAGCUCGCCAGGCCUGCAUUGACGCUCGGGCACGAAAGCGUGGGGAUCGAACAGGAUUAGAUACCCUGGUAGUCCACGCCGUAAACGAUGGGCGCUCGUCGUCGGCGGCAGACAGUCGGCGGCCAAGCGAAAGCGAUAAGCGCCCCACCUGGGGAGUACGGUCGCAAGGUUGAAACUCAAAGGAAUUGACGGGG
rnacentral:rRNA from 1 species